ACAGGUGGUGCAUGGUUGUCGUCAGCUCGUGUCGUGAGGUGUUGGGUUAAGUCCUCUAACGAGCGCAACCCUCGUUGCUAGUUAUACUUUUCUAGCGAGACUGCCGGGAUAUAACCGGAGGAAGGUGGGGAUGACGUCAAGUCAGCAUGGCCUUUAUAUCCAGGGCUACACACACGCUACAAUGGUCGGUACAGAGGGAAGCCAAGCCGCGAGGCGGAGCUAAUCUCAGAAAGCCGAUCUCAGUUCAGAUUGCAGGCUGCAACCCGCCUGCAUGAAGUUGGAGUUGCUAGUAACCGCAGGUCAGCCAUACUGCGGUGAAUACGUUCCCGGGCUUU
rnacentral:rRNA from 1 species